GAAAGAAAAAAAAGAAAGAAAGAAAGAAAGAAAGAAAGAAAGAAGGAAAGAAGGAAAGAAGGAAAGAAAGAAGGAAAAGAGCAAGAAAAAGAAAAUAUGAAUAUAUACUGAGUUCGGCAUCAGAGAAGUGGAUUCAAAACCCAGUUCU
rnacentral:lncRNA from 1 species